rnacentral:tRNA from 1 species
AACAUGUGGCACAAUGGGUCAGUGAAUCAGGCUGUUAACCAGAAGGUUGGUGGUUCAAACCCACCCAUGGACG